GGCUUGCAGGCGAUACGGGCAGACUUGAGUGUUCAGGGGAGACUGGAAUUCCUGGUGUAGCGGUGAAAUGCGCAGAUAUCAGGAGGAACACCGGUGGCGAAGGCGGGUCUCUGGGAAACAACUGACGCUGAGGAACGAAAGCGUGGGUAGCAAACAGGAUUAGAUACCCUGGUAGUCCACGCCGUAAACGGUGGGCGCUAGGUGUGGGUUCCUUCCACGGGAUCUGUGCCGUAGCUAACGCAUUAAGCGCCCCGCCUGGGGAGUGCGGCCGCAAGGCUUUCUUCUCAAAGGAAUUGACGGGGGCCCGCACAAGCGGCGGAGCAUGUGGAUUAAUUCGAUGCAACGCGAAGAACCUUACCUGGGUUUGACAUACACCGGAAAACCGUAGAGAUACGGUCCCCCUUGUGGUCGGUGUACAUGGUGGUGCAUGGCUGUC
rnacentral:rRNA from 1 species